rnacentral:rRNA from 1 species
UCCUGGCUCAGGACGAACGCUGGCGGCGUGCCUAAUACAUGCAAGUCGAGCGCGGGAAGCAAGCAGAUCUCCUUCGGGAGUGACGCUUGUGGAACGAGCGGCGGACGGGUGAGUAACACGUGGGCAACCUACCUGUAAGACUGGGAUAACUCCGUGAAACCGGGGCUAAUACCGGAUGAAACAAAGCGUCGCAUGACGCAAUGUUAAAAGGCGGCAUAUGCUGUCACUUACAGAUGGGCCCGCGGCGCAUUAGCUAGUUGGUGAGGUAAAGGCUCACCAAGGCAACGAUGCGUAGCCGACCUGAGAGGGUGAUCGGCCACACUGGGACUGAGACACGGCCCAGACUCCUACGGGAGGCAGCAGUAGGGAAUCUUCCGCAAUGGACGAAAGUCUGACGGAGCAACGCCGCGUGAGUGAUGAAGGUUUUCGGAUCGUAAAACUCUGUUGUUAGGGAAGAACAAGUGCCAUUCGAAUAGGUUGGCACCUUGACGGUACCUAACCAGAAAGCCCCGGCUAACUACGUGCCAGCAGCCGCGGUAAUACGUAGGGGGCAAGCGUUGUCCGGAAUUAUUGGGCGUAAAGCGCGCGCAGGCGGUCCUUUAAGUCUGAUGUGAAAGCCCACGGCUUAACCGUGGAGGGCCAUUGGAAACUGGAGGACUUGAGUACAGAAGAGGAGAGUGGAAUUCCACGUGUAGCGGUGAAAUGCGUAGAGAUGUGGAGGAACACCAGUGGCGAAGGCGACUCUCUGGUCUGUAACUGACGCUGAGGUGCGAAAGCGUGGGUAGCGAACAGGAUUAGAUACCCUGGUAGUCCACGCCGUAAACGAUGAGAUGCGUAGGUGUUAGGGGGUUUCCGCCCCUUAGUGC